rnacentral:sRNA from 1 species
CCAAGAGCUACUUGGAGCUGCUUCAUAUUUUCUCCAUCCUCAUCGGGCAGAAGAAACUGGAGCUGAAAACUGCCAAGAACCGCAUGAAGAGCGGCCUCGACAAGCUGCUGCGCACUUCUGAGGAUGUAGCCAAGAUGCAGGAGGACCUGGAGAGUAUGCACCCCCUGCUGGAGGAGGCUGCCAAGGACACCAUGCUCACCAUGGAGCAGAUCAAGGUGGAUACGGCCAUCGCCGAGGAGACCCGGAAUUCAGUGCAGACAGAGGAGAUCAAAGCCAAUGAGAAGGCCAAGAAGGCACAAGCUAUUGCUGACGAUGCCCAGAAGGACCUGGACGAGGCGUUGCCAGCCCUGAAUGCUGCUCUGGCCAGCCUGCGCAACCUCAACAAGAACGAUGUGACCGAGGUACGUGCCAUGCAGCGGCCACCCCCGGGUGUGAAACUGGUCAUAGAAGCUGUGUGCAUCAUGAAAGGCAUCAAGCCCAAGAAGGUGCCUGGAGAAAAGCCAGGCACCAAGGUGGAUGACUACUGGGAGCCUGGCAAGGGGCUGCUGCAGGACCCGGGCCACUUCCUUGAGAGCCUCUUCAAGUUUGACAAGGACAACAUUGGGGAUGUGGUGAUCAAAGCCAUCCAGCCGUACAUCGAUAAUGAAGAGUUCCAGCCAGCCGCCAUUGCCAAGGUGUCCAAGGCUUGCACCUCCAUCUGCCAGUGGGUGCGCGCCAUGCACAAGUACCACUUUGUGGCCAAGGCCGUGGAGCCUAAGCGGCAAGCCCUGCUGGAGGCCCAGGACGACCUGGGGGUGACACAGAGGAUCCUGGAUGAGGCAAAACAGCGCCUUCGUGAGGUGGAGGACGGCAUCGCCACAAUGCAGGCUAAGUACCGGGAAUGCAUUACCAAGAAGGAGGAGCUGGAGCUGAAGUGUGAGCAGUGUGAGCAGCGGCUGGGCCGAGCUGGCAAGGUGCGCACCCUCCUCCUGCAAGGCGUGCAAGCGGGCCCGGCCCAGACAGGGGCCAGAAAGGACCAGGGCGCCGGUGGGUCCUGGGGUGGCUGUCCACACCCCCUCCCUGGCAACCCCAGGUGCCACAGUGGGUAGGGCCAGCCCCAGGCCCCUAGCCCAGCCUCCCAGAGCCCACCCCACGGGGCUGCCCCUCCAGCUCAUCAACGGGCUGUCGGAUGAGAAGGUGCGCUGGCAGGAGACGGUGGAGAACCUGCAGUACAUGCUCAACAACAUCUCCGGCGAUGUCCUGGUGGCCGCUGGCUUUGUGGCCUACCUGGGCCCCUUCACGGGCCAGUACCGCACGGUGCUCUACGACAGCUGGGUCAAGCAGCUCAGGAGCCACAAUGUCCCACACACCUCCGAGCCCACGCUAAUCGGGACGCUGGGGAACCCUGUGAAGAUCCGAUCGUGGCAGAUCGCUGGCCUCCCCAACGACACACUGUCAGUGGAGAACGGGGUCAUCAACCAGUUUUCCCAGCGCUGGACCCACUUCAUUGACCCUCAGAGCCAGGCCAACAAAUGGAUCAAGAACAUGGAGAAGGACAAUGGGCUGGAUGUGUUCAAGUUGAGUGACCGCGACUUCCUGCGCAGCAUGGAGAACGCCAUCCGCUUUGGCAAGCCAUGUCUCCUGGAGAACGUGGGCGAGGAGCUAGACCCAGCCCUGGAGCCGGUGCUGCUCAAGCAGACGUACAAGCAGCAGGGAAACACGGUGCUGAAGCUGGGGGACACGGUGAUCCCCUACCAUGAGGACUUCAGGAUGUACAUCACCACCAAGCUGCCCAACCCACACUACACGCCCGAGAUCUCCACCAAACUCACCCUCAUCAACUUCACCCUGUCGCCCAGUGGCCUAGAGGACCAGCUACUGGGCCAGGUAGUGGCAGAGGAGCGACCCGACCUGGAGGAGGCCAAGAACCAGCUGAUUAUCAGUAAUGCCAAGAUGCGCCAGGAGCUGAAGGACAUUGAGGACCAAAUCCUGUACCGGCUCAGCUCCUCCGAGGGCAACCCUGUAGAUGACAUGGAACUCAUCAAGGUGCUGGAAGCCUCCAAGAUGAAGGCUGCUGAGAUCCAGGCCAAAGUCAGAAUUGCAGAGCAGACGGAGAAGGACAUCGACCUGACGCGCAUGGAGUACAUACCCGUGGCCGUCCGCACCCAGAUCCUCUUCUUCUGUGUGUCCGACCUGGCCAACGUGGACCCCAUGUACCAGUACUCCCUCGAGUGGUUUCUCAACAUCUUCCUCUCGGGCAUCGCCAACUCAGAGAGAGCAGAAAACCUGAAGAAGCGCAUCUCCAACAUCAACCGCUACCUGACCUACAGCCUCUACAGCAACGUCUGCCGCAGCCUCUUUGAGAAGCACAAGCUGAUGUUUGCCUUCCUGCUGUGUGUUCGCAUCAUGAUGAACGAGGGCAAAAUCAACCAGAGUGAGUGGCGAUACCUCCUGUCCGGGGGCUCCAUCUCGAUCAUGACUGAGAAUCCGGCACCGGACUGGCUGUCAGACCGGGCUUGGCGAGACAUCCUAGCACUCUCGAACCUGCCAACCUUUUCCUCCUUCUCUUCCGACUUCGUGAAGCACCUCUCAGAAUUCCGGGUCAUCUUCGACAGCCUUGAGCCCCACCGGGAGCCUUUGCCUGGCAUCUGGGACCAGUACCUAGACCAGUUCCAGAAGCUGCUAGUCCUCCGCUGCCUGCGUGGGGACAAGGUUACCAACGCCAUGCAGGACUUUGUGGCCACCAACCUGGAGCCACGCUUCAUUGAGCCCCAGACAGCCAAUCUGUCAGUGGUGUUCAAAGACUCCAACUCCACCACACCCCUCAUCUUUGUGCUGUCACCCGGCACAGACCCUGCUGCCGACCUCUACAAGUUUGCCGAAGAAAUGAAGUUCUCCAAAAAGCUCUCUGCCAUCUCCCUGGGCCAGGGGCAGGUCAGGGCUAGGCAGGGAGGAAGGGAGUGGGCUGGGGGGUGGGCAAGCUGGCCCCCUGCUCAGUGCUCUUGCCCCUGCAGGGCCCUCGGGCAGAAGCCAUGAUGCUCAGCUCCAUAGAGAGGGGCAAAUGGGUCUUCUUCCAGAACUGCCACCUGGCACCAAGCUGGAUGCCAGCCCUAGAACGCCUCAUCGAGCACAUCAACCCCGACAAGGUACACAGGGACUUCCGCCUCUGGCUCACCAGCCUGCCCAGCAACAAGUUCCCAGUGUCCAUCCUGCAGAACGGCUCCAAGAUGACCAUUGAGCCGCCACGCGGUGUCAAGGCCAACCUGCUGAAGUCCUAUAGUAGCCUUGGUGAAGACUUCCUCAACUCCUGCCACAAGGUGAGGCACACUUGGUGCAGGCCUACCCUACCUGCCCCUGUCCCCGCUCCUCACCUCCCCUGCCUCCCACGUCCCCCAGGUGAUGGAGUUCAAGUCUCUGCUGCUAUCUCUGUGCUUGUUCCAUGGGAACGCCCUGGAGCGCCGUAAGUUUGGGCCCCUGGGCUUCAACAUCCCCUAUGAGUUCACGGAUGGAGAUCUGCGCAUCUGCAUCAGCCAGCUCAAGAUGUUCCUGGACGAAUAUGAUGACAUCCCCUACAAGGUGGGCCUGGGGCAGACUGGGGCCUGGGGGACUGGGCACUUAGGGGAGCCCUCACCCACCCACCCCAUAGGUCCUCAAGUACACGGCAGGGGAGAUCAAUUACGGGGGCCGUGUCACUGAUGACUGGGACCGGCGCUGCAUCAUGAACAUCCUGGAGGACUUCUACAACCCUGACGUGCUCUCCCCUGAGCACAGCUACAGCGCCUCGGGCAUCUACCACCAGCUCCCGCCUACCUACGACCUCCACGGCUACCUCUCCUACAUCAAGAGCCUCCCACUCAAUGAUAUGCCUGAGAUCUUUGGCCUGCAUGACAAUGCCAACAUCACCUUUGCCCAGAACGAGACGUUCGCCCUCCUGGGCACCAUCAUCCAGCUGCAACCCAAAUCAUCUUCUGCAGGCAGCCAGGGCCGGGAGGAGAUAGUGGAGGACGUCACCCAAAACAUUCUGCUCAAGGUGCCUGAGCCUAUCAACUUGCAAUGGGUGAUGGCCAAGUACCCAGUGCUGUAUGAGGAAUCAAUGAACACAGUGCUAGUACAAGAGGUCAUUAGGUACAAUCGGCUGCUGCAGGUGAUCACACAGACACUGCAAGACCUACUCAAGGCACUCAAGGGGCUGGUAGUGAUGUCCUCUCAGCUGGAGCUGAUGGCUGCCAGCCUGUACAACAAUACUGUGCCUGAGCUCUGGAGUGCCAAGGCCUACCCAUCGCUCAAGCCUCUGUCAUCAUGGGUCAUGGACCUGCUGCAACGCCUGGACUUUCUGCAGGCCUGGAUCCAAGAUGGCAUCCCAGCUGUCUUCUGGAUCAGUGGCUUCUUCUUCCCCCAGGCUUUCUUAACAGGCACUCUGCAGAAUUUUGCCCGCAAAUUUGUCAUCUCCAUUGACACCAUCUCCUUUGAUUUCAAGGUGCCCGCUGGGAUCCAGAGGCCUUCCAGCUGGCUGAAUCUCAGCCCAAGGAGCUGUACACAGAGAUGGCCGUUAUCUGGCUCUUGCCAACACCCAACCGCAAGGCCCAGGACCAGGACUUUUACCUGUGCCCCAUCUACAAGACACUGACUCGUGCUGGAACACUAUCAACCACAGGACACUCUACCAACUAUAUCAUUGCUGUGGAGAUCCCCACCCAUCAGCCCCAGCGACACUGGAUAAAGCGUGGUGUGGCCCUCAUCUGUGCCCUGGACUACUAGACUCAGACAGAAGGGCUGGGGCCAUUAAAGUUGAAUUUUCU